GAGUUUGAUCCUGGCUCAGGAUAAACGCUGGCGGCGCACAUAAGACAUGCAAGUCGAACGGACUUAACCAUUAGUUUACUAUUGGAGCGGUUAGUGGCGGACUGGUGAGUAACACGUAAGCAACCUGCCUAUCAGAGGGGAACAACAGUUAGAAAUGACUGCUAAUACCGCAUAUGCCUUGAGUUACGCAUGUAACGAAAGGGAAAGGAGCAAUCCGCUGAUAGAUGGGCUUGCGUCUGAUUAGAUAGUUGGUGGGGUAACGGCCUACCAAGUCGACGAUCAGUAGCCGGACUGAGAGGUUGAACGGCCACAUUGGGACUGAGAUACGGCCCAGACUCCUACGGGAGGCAGCAGUCGGGAAUAUUGCGCAAUGGAGGAAACUCUGACGCAGUGACGCCGCGUGCAGGAAGAAGGUUUUCGGAUUGUAAACUGCUUUAGACAGGGAAGAUAAUGACAGUACCUGUAGAAUAAGCUCCGGCUAACUACGUGCCAGCAGCCGCGGUAAUACGUAGGGAGCAAGCGUUAUCCGGAUUUAUUGGGUGUAAAGGGUGCGUAGGCGGGAAGGCAAGUUAGUUGUGAAAUCCCUCGGCUUAACUGAGGAACUGCAACUAAAACUAUCUUUCUUG
rnacentral:rRNA from 1 species